AGCGAACGCUGGCGGCAGGCCUAACACAUGCAAGUCGAACGAACCCUUCGGGGUUAGUGGCGGACGGGUGAGUAACACGUGGGAACGUGCCUUUAGGUUCGGAAUAACUCCGGGAAACUUGUGCUAAUACCGAAUGUGCCCUUCGGGGGAAAGAUUUAUCGCCUUUAGAGCGGCCCGCGUCUGAUUAGCUAGUUGGUGAGGUAAUGGCUCACCAAGGCUACGAUCAGUAGCCGGUCUGAGAGGAUGACCAGCCACAUUGGGACUGAGACACGGCCCAAACUCCUACGGGAGGCAGCAGUGGGGAAUCUUGCGCAAUGGGCGAAAGCCUGACGCAGCCAUGCCGCGUGGAUGAUGAAGGUCUUAGGAUUGUAAAAUCCUUUCACCGGUGAAGAUAAUGACUGUAGCCGGAGAAGAAGCCCCGGCUAACUUCGUGCCAGCCGCCGCCGUAAAAC
rnacentral:rRNA from 1 species